rnacentral:rRNA from 1 species
UACGUAGGCAGCGAGCGUUGUUCGGAGUUACUGGGCGUAAAGCGUGCGUAGGCGGUGGUCCAAGUCUGGUGUGAAAUCUCCCGGCUCAACUGGGAAGGUGCGCCGGAAACUGGGCCGCUGGAGUACGGGAGAGGCAAGCGGAAUUCCAGGUGUAGCGGUGAAAUGCGUAGAUAUCUGGAGGAACACCCGUGGUGCAGACGGCUUGCUGGACCGUGACUGACGCUGAGGCACGAAAGCGUGGGUAGCAAACAGG